rnacentral:rRNA from 1 species
ACCGGCGCACGGGUGAGUAACACGUAUCCAACCUGCCGAUGACUCGGGGAUAGCCUUUCGAAAGAAAGAUUAAUACCCGAUGGCAUAGUUCUUCCGCAUGGUAGAACUAUUAAAGAAUUUCGGUCAUCGAUGGGGAUGCGUUCCAUUAGGUUGUUGGCGGGGUAACGGCCCACCAAGCCUUCGAUGGAUAGGGGUUCUGAGAGGAAGGUCCCCUACAUUGGAACUGAGACACGGUCCAAACUCCUACGGGAGGCAGCAUG